AGUUGAGUUGAGUUGAGUUGUAUUUUUCAUUAGCAGUGUAAUAUUUUGUGAAGUGCAUGUUUCAUUAAAAAUUUUAAAACGUAAUUUUUUUUUACCAUAAACUCAUCAUCAAUCCAAUGGCAAGUCAUUCCAAAAAAUAAUUAAUUUGCCAUUGAUCACUCCAACUUUUAGAACAAUUUGAAAUCCUAUGUUUGAAAUGUUCCAACAAUUGAAUGAUGUCUCUUUUCUUUGUAGUAUAAUGACUAAUUAAUGCAAAUCUUAAAUUAUGGAAAGAAAUCUUUAUCCCUUGAAUAUUAUGUAUAUAUUGCUCAAUUUGCAAUCUUUUAUCAAAAGUAAUAGAUAUUCGAUAUUUACCUGUGAAUUUUCAUUGACCUUCUUAUCUUCUAGCAAAAUUUGGCCAAUAUUCGGCAAUUGAUUAAACUCUUUGAAAUCUUGAACUUUUGCCUUUUCCUUACCAAAUAUGUACCUCCUUGAAGUAUUUCUAUGGCUCAACAUUUUUGGUAAUAAGUGUA
rnacentral:misc_RNA from 1 species